rnacentral:misc_RNA from 1 species
GUAAGAUUGAUUGGAAAUUUACGAGUAAUUAAAAUGUUGGACUUUUUAAGGUAGAAACAGUGUCCGAAUGCUCGAUGAAAGAUUAUUUUCAAGAAACGAUACUUGUGGAAUUUAUUCUGCUCAGUAACAUUUUGAUCAAUAUAUUAUUAUUCUUACUAUAUUAAAUAUUAUUUAAAUUUUAUUGCGUUACCAAGGAACAUAAGACUGAAAAUUAGUAUGACAAUUAUAUCUAAAAUAGUAGAAACUACAGAAGAAGAUUUUUUGAAGUGGCGGAGAUUUUCUGGACAUAAAUUUUAUACAAACUGAAAUAGCGAACGAAAAUAAUGAGGAUGUACCUUCUCGUGUCAAAAGGUUUGGGAAAAGAUUUGGAUGAUUUGAAGCAAAAAAAAAAAAAAAAGAACCUAAGAAUGUAAAGUUACUGGUGUUAACAAAUAUAGACAACUCAUCCAAAGGAAAAUAUAUGAAACGCUUAAAUAUUGCAAUAAAUUGAUAACUUGCUUGAUCUCCGUUUAAAUAGAUAAAAUUU